rnacentral:rRNA from 1 species
AUUGAACGCUGGCGGCAGGCCUAACACAUGCAAGUCGAGCGGAUGAAGGGAGCUUGCUCCUGGAUUCAGCGGCGGACGGGUGAGUAAUGCCUAGGAAUCUGCCUUGUAUUGGGGGAUAACGUCCGGAAACGGGCGCUAAUACCGCAUACGUCCUGAUGGAGAAAGUGGGGGAUCUUCGGACCUCACGCUAUCAGAUGAGCCUAGGUCGGAUUAGCUAGUUGGUGGGGUAAAGGCCUACCAAGGCGACGAUCCGUAACUGGUCUGAGAGGAUGAUCAGUCACACUGGAACUGAGACACGGUCCAGACUCCUACGGGAGGCAGCAGUGGGGAAUAUUGGACAAUGGGCGAAAGCCUGAUCCAGCCAUGCCGCGUGUGUGAAGAAGGUCUUCGGAUUGUAAAGCACUUUAAGUUGGGAGGAAGGGCAGUAAGUUAAUACCUUGCUGUUUUGACGUUACCAACAGAAUAAGCACCGGCUAACUUCGUG